rnacentral:rRNA from 1 species
AAAGUCGUAACAAGGGUUUCCGUAGGUGAACCUGCGGAAGGAUCAUUAUUGAAUAAACUUGAACAAGCUGUUGCUGGCCCCUCUUGAAGGGAUAAGUGCACGCUUGUCAUCUUUAUUUUUCCAACUGUGCACAUAUUGUAGACUCUGGAUUUAGGAUUGCUGUUCAGCUUUGCCUUGCAUUUUUUCAGAUCUAUGUUAUUUUUCACAAUCUCUGAAUGUAUCAGAACGUUGAAUAUAUGUAUAUGUAUACAACUUUCAGCAAUGGAUCUCUUGGCUCUCGCAUCGAUGAAGAACGCAGCGAAAUGCGAUAAGUAAUGUGAAUUGCAGAAUUCAGUGAAUCAUCGAAUCUUUGAACGCAUCUUGCGCUCCUUGGUAUUCCGAGGAGCAUGCCUGUUUGAGUGUCAUUCAAGUUCUCAACUACAUCUUGAUAAUGGGGUGUGGCUUUGGAUGUGGGGAUUUGCAGGCUUUUUCAUUUUUUUUUGAAAAUGAAGUCUGCUUCCCUGAAAUGAAUUAGUGGUAUCUGAGCAGAGAUGACUACUACAGGUGUGAUAAAUUA